rnacentral:sRNA from 1 species
GCCGGGUUGGUGUGAUUGGAGUGACUCUCAUGGCUCUCCUUUCUGGAUUUGGUGCUGUCAACUGCCCAUACACUUACAUGUCUUACUUCCUCAGGAAUGUGACUGACACAGAUAUUCUAGCCCUGGAACGGCGACUGCUGCAAACCAUGGAUAUGAUCAUAAGCAAAAAGAAAAGGAUGGCAAUGGCACGGAGAACAAUGUUCCAGAAGGGGGAAGUGCAUAACAAACCAUCAGGUUUCUGGGGAAUGAUAAAAAGUGUUACCACUUCAGCACCAGGAAGUGAAACUUCACUUUCCUUAUGUGCAAAAUGGAUAACACCAUGGCAUAAGACAAUCCCAUGAAGAUAAGAUAUAAAAGAAGAUAAUGUUUGAAAAGAAAUAAGGUAAUGUCUGUAAAUCCUAGCCUAUAUUAUAACACAGUAAAGUAUUAGUUCCCUUUUCUAACAUUAUAUUCAGAUAAUGUAGGAGAAAGCUAUGCUUUAUUAUAGUUAUUAUUAUGUAACUAUUUACAAUCUUGAACAUUACAUUUGACUUAAUCUAACUAGAUAAAUCAAAAAACAAAUGAAAU